rnacentral:rRNA from 1 species
CAUGCAAGUCGAGCGAUGAAACUACUUCGCGUGUGAAUUAGCGGCGAACGGGCCCCUUAACACGUGAGGAAUCUGCCUUCUACACUGGGAUAACUCCGGGAAACCGGGGCUAAUACCGGAUAUGAAACUUGGUGGCAUCACCGAGUUUGGAAAGUUUUUCGGUAGAAGAUGACCUCGCGGCCUAUCAGCUUGUUGGUGAGGUAAUGGCUCACCAAGGCGACGACUAGUAGCCGGCCUGAGAGGGCGACCGGCCACACUGGGACUGAGACACGGCCCACACUCCUACGGGAGGCAGCAGUGGGGAAUAUUGGGCAAUGGAGGAAACUCUGACCCAGCGACGCCGCGUGCGGGAUGAAGGCCUUCGGGUUGUAAACCGCUUUCAGUAGGGAAGAAGCGAAAGUGACGGUACCUACAGAAGAAGCACCGGCUAACUAUGUGCCAGCAGCCGCGGUAAUACAUACGGUGCAAGCGUUGUCCGGAAUUAUUGGGCGUAAAGAGCUCGUAGGUGGUUCGUUACGUCGGAUGUGAAAAUCUGGGGUUCAACCCCAGACCUGCCUCCGAUACGGGCGAGCUAUAGUUUGGCAAGGGAAACUGGAAUUCCUGG